GUGCGGCGGCACUGCCUCUUCGCCGCGUCAAACAGCCCUCUUCUAAUCGGACGGGCGACAGAAACGACAAGUCGACGCACCGCAUGCGUUCGCUGUUUGACCCAAACAGAUGACUGGAGCCACCGGGGCGAAGACCGGACUGUUUCAGAGGGGCUCGUCCAUUGGUGAGGCCAUUAACAUUACUCCCUCUUUCUCCUCGGACUGAGAGCUGGAAGCGCGUAGCGGUUCAUCUGCACUACAGCAGAUUAUUGAGCAGCACAGAGAGACUGUACGGGCUAAUGGGAUUGACAAACUAACAUUAGCGCUACAGGGCUUUUCUGAGAGUAUGGUGCUCUUCAUUUUUGGCCGAGUUAUCGUGGAUAUGAAUCAUGUCUGAGCCCGAGGGGUCACCAUCCUGAGCUGAGUUGCGUCCUGUGAACUGCAACAACACCAAAGCUUGUGUUGAGAGCCUUAUUCUGACUCAUGUUCAAGCUUAGUCCGCAGACUUCAGUGGGUUUAUUUCUUCU
ensembl:lncRNA